rnacentral:miRNA from 1 species
GAAGCGCUUCUCUUUAGAGUG